ACAAAAAAGAAGCUGAUCAAGGGGUAGAAAAUGUAGAUUUUGCCAGAUCGGAAUGCUCCAAACACCUGUGCACAUUUUUGUUUUUGCCUUUUCCUUAGCACGACACAGCUGUUUCAAAUGAUCAAGUCAUCAUCAAGCGUCAAGUGGUUAUAUCAGCUGUGUUGGUGAACCCAUCCCGCAUCUGAACUCGCUGACACAGCAUGAUCAUGGGUAUGUUUUGAUGUGAGAGAGGAAGCC